rnacentral:rRNA from 1 species
AUAGCUUUAGGGCUAGCCUCACGAAGAACGAGUCUUGGAGGUAGAGCACUGUUUGGACUAGGGGCCCUCAUCGGGUUACCGAAUUCAGACAAACUCCGAAUGCCAAGUACUUAAACGUGGGAGUCAGACUGCGAGUGAUAAGAUCCGUAGUCAAAAGGGAAACAGCCCAGACCACCAGCUAAGGUCCCAAAGUAUACGUUAAGUGGAAAAGGAUGUGGGGUUGCUUAGACAACCAGGAUGUUGGCUUAGAAGCAGCCAUCAUUUAAAGAGUGCGUAAUAGCUCACUGGUCGAGUGACCCCGCGCCGAAAAUGUACCGGGGCUAAACGUAUCACCGAAGCUGUGGGU